AGGAGAAGUCGUAACAAGGUUUCCGUAGGUGAACCUGCGGAAGGAUCAUUGUCGAUGCCUUACAUGCAGUCCAACACGUGAAUCAGUUUGAAUACAUAUGGUUGGCUUGAGGUGUUCUACACCUCGGCUUACCUCUUGGUUCAGAGGAAGACGACGAAGUGCGUCCUCCUUUGUGCCAAAACUCAAACCCCGGCGCUGAAUGCGUCAAGGAAUUUAAAUUUUGCUCUGAGCACACCUGCAUGGCACCGGAGACGGUUUUCGUGCGUGUUGUGUUUUGACACAUGAUAUAGAAUGACUCUCGGCAACGGAUAUCUAGGCUCUUGCAUCGAUGAAGAACGUAGCGAAAUGCGAUACUUGGUGUGAAUUGCAGAAUCCCGUGAACCAUCGAGUUUUUGAACGCAAGUUGCGCCCGAUGCCAUUAGGUUGAGGGCACGUCUGCCUGGGUGUCACAUAUCGAAUCCCCUUGCCAAUUUCCUAUUUAUUAGGUAUUGCGUGCAGGGUGAAUAUGUUGGCCUCCCGUGAGCUCUGUCUCGUGGUUGGUUGAAAAUCGAGACCUUGGUAGGGUGUGCCAUGAUAGAUGGUGGAUGUGUGACCCACGAGACCAAAUCAUGUGCAGCUCUAUUGAACGUGGACUCUUUUACCCACAUGUGUUUUAUAACGCUCGUGAUGAGACCUCAGGUCANGCGGGGCUACCCGCUGAAUUUAAGCAUAUCAAUAAGCGG
rnacentral:rRNA from 1 species